rnacentral:misc_RNA from 1 species
UGGCUCUCGCAUCGAUGAAGAACGCAGCGAAGCGCGAAAUGUAGUGUGAAUCGCAGAACAUUGUGAAUCAUCGAAUCUUUGAACGCACAUUGCGCCUCCGACAACUCGGAGGCAUGCCUGUCUGAGCGUCAUUUAAAACAAUGGACCCAUAUGGGUUUGUAUUGGGCCUCGCCUCCUGGCGUAGCCUCAAAGACAUCGGUCUCAUACGUGGACGAGCUCCUUUAGGACAGACCACAUGGAGACUUUAAAACAUCUGACUUGACCUCAGAUCAGGUAGGACUACCGCCUGA